UGUCCAGUAGCACCUUAGAGACCAGCUAAGUUUGUUCUGGAUAUAAGCUUUCGUGUGCAGGCAGGAGUGUGUUCUGAAGAAGUGUGCAUGCACACGAAAGCUUAUACCCAGAACAAAUUUAGUUGAUCUCUAAGAUGCUACUGGACA